GGGCCCGUGGCUCAACCUGGGAGAGCAUCCGUCGGUUACCGGUUUUUCCGGACCGGAUGAAGCUCUUAUUGCCAGGGGAAACCGGACGGUUGUGGGUUCGAAUCCCACCGGGCCCG
rfam:Candidate divison MSBL1 archaeon SCGC-AAA259E19 AAA259E19_Contig_34, whole genome shotgun sequence.